UCUGUAGCUCAGCUGGAUAGAGCAACGGCCUUCUAAGCCGUGGGUCGGGGGUUCGAAUCCCUUCAG
rnacentral:tRNA from 1 species